GGUGAUAUCGUCUAGUGGUUAGGACAACACGUUGUGGAUGUGCAACCCACAAAUAAUACCGUGUAAACGCCGGUUCGAUUCCGGCUAUCGCCA